AUUCUGCCCAAGCGGGGAAGGAUGAGAAGCUUCGACUAAGGUUCGACUCGAGCGCCAGCGAGAGAGCGUUGCCGCAGGCAACGACCCGAAGGGCGAAGCGCGCAGCGCUAGUAAUCCUUCCCCCACCACCA
rnacentral:sRNA from 4 species